rnacentral:rRNA from 1 species
AUUGAACGCUGGCGGCAUGCCUUACACAUGCAAGUCGAACGGUAACAGGUUAAGCUGACGAGUGGCGAACGGGUGAGUAAUAUAUCGGAACGUGCCCAGUCGUGGGGGAUAACGCAGCGAAAGCUGUGCUAAUACCGCAUACGAUCUCUGGAUGAAAGCGGGGGACCUUCGGGCCUCGCGCGAUUGGAGCGGCCGAUAUCAGAUUAGCUAGUUGGUGGGGUAAAGGCCCACCAAGGCGACGAUCUGUAGCUGGUCUGAGAGGACGACCAGCCACACUGGAACUGAGACACGGUCCAGACUCCUACGGGAGGCAGCAGUGGGGAAUUUUGGACAAUGGGCGCAAGCCUGAUCCAGCAAUGCCGCGUGCAGGAUGAAGGCCUUCGGGUUGUAAACUGCUUUGUACGGAGCGAAAAGGUCGUCUUCUAAUACAGGAGGCCCAUGACGGUACCGUAACGAAUAAGCACCGGCUAACUACGUAGCCAGUAG